GUAAGUCGACAAGUGAGUGAGGAAUACAAAUGACAAUGAAGAAAAUAACACUAGCUUUUCUUCUUCUAACUCUACUUCAUAUAUUUCUAUGUCUAUCUUUUCAGGUUUCUGUCACAGAGGCUCGAUUCCGUCACCUAGGUGAGGAACGAAUGGGCGCAAAGCCCUCCAUACCAUGUGGAGCUGCUCCUCUGGCAAGGCGUCAUGCUGCGCUUACAGGGAUAUAUAAAUGGGCUUGUAAAAGAGUUCCAAGAAGACCUCCUCUCGUGUAGGUUCGCGAUUAAUAUGAAAUAUCAUAGUCACGUUCAACCCCCUCAUCGACACCAGCCUUCCACUCGCAAGACACUUACCUUUCACUAUGGUUUGCUAAGAUUCAGCAAUUCUAGCUCCAUUUUUACCUUCCUCUUUUUCUUUGUUUUCUUUUUUUUUUACACCGUUUUUACCUUACUCCUCUCCUCUACUCUACUCUAUUACUUAAAGUGCUCCAUGUAAAAUGGGUGUUUGUUCUCACCAUCCUCUACCACUAUAAAUCUGUAUUUGCUUGGAUUAUCAUAUUUGACUUUUGCACGAGUAUUCUUGUUUGAUAUAAUAUGGUUUUCUCUUUAA